GACGAACGCUGGCGGCGUGCUUAACACAUGCAAGUCGAGCGGUAAGGCCCUUUCGGGGGUACACGAGCGGCGAACGGGUGAGUAACACGUGGGUGACCUGCCCUCAGCUCUGGGAUAAGCCUGGGAAACUGGGUCUAAUACUGGAUAUGACUCCACGGUGCAUGUCGUGGGGUGGAAAGCCUUGUGCGGCUGAGGAUGGGCCCGCGGCCUAUCAGCUUGUUGGUGGGGUGANGGGCCUACCAAGGCGACGACGGGUAGCCGGCCUGAGAGGCGACCGGCCACACUGGGACUGAGACACGGCCCAGACUCCUACGGGAGGCAGCAGUGGGGAAUCUUGCGCAAUGGGCGAAAGCCUGACGCAGCGACGCCGCGUGAGGGAUGACGG
rnacentral:rRNA from 1 species